CGAAAUUGAUGCCGCAGAGGGAUGGCAGAAAAGGCACUUUUUGCUACCGUUGUGCUUCUCGCAUCACUGAGAUUCGCGACGCUGAAUGAUGUUUUCAAAUGCGCACCAAUACUCGGCAAAAAACUGGAUAUCAGAAAGUUUGUAGGUACAAGGGACCCUAUAUGGACUUGGAAUACAACCGCAAAGGAGGAUAUCUCAUGUAAAGUGGACAUGAUGAAGAGUCUGGCCAAACGAUCCAUUUUCUUCACUCGAAAAUUUCACACUAGCAGCGAAUUGCGCCCGAUUGCUGAGAUCUACGAGGGAAUCUUUCUGAAAAAACAACAAAACGUGAUGCAACUACGCGAGCGAGGUCACAACUUUAUGGCGAAGGAAACUAUUCUUUAUCACAGCGAAAGACAUCACUGCGCAGUGAUUAGGGUGACACCUACCCUACGCAGUCAUCUACCCUAUUAUGAACUCCGUGUAUGGAAUUCCGUAGUGAGUCAAGGCCCUCACAGAAAAUGCAUUACACGAUUCAUGAAACACGGAUGGAGCGGACACGUCAUUUAUCAGUCGACCUGUCAGGGCAUUCUGCCCUAUAAAGGUCGUUGAAUUUAGGAGAGAAAAAGCAUGCAGUACUGAAAGAACAUGGCUAGUUGAUUAACUUUGUGGAUGCAGUGCAUCAACAUGUGAAACAAUAAAACGAAGACCACGGUAGCACUGUGUUACACGAGGAAAUAAAAUU